rnacentral:rRNA from 1 species
UCCUACGGGAGGCAGCAGUAGGGAAUCUUCCGCAAUGGACGAAAGUCUGACGGAGCAACGCCGCGUGAGUGAUGAAGGCUUUCGGGUCGUAAAACUCUGUUGUUAGAGAAGAACGUUGUGUAGAGUGGAAAAUUACACAAGUGACGGUAUCUAACCAGAAAGGGACGGCUAACUACGUGCCAGCAGCCGCGGUAAUACGUAGGUCCCGAGCGUUGUCCGGAUUUAUUGGGCGUAAAGCGAGCGCAGGUGGUUUAAUAAGUCUGAUGUAAAAGGCAGUGGCUCAACCAUUGUGUGCAUUGGAAACUGUUAGACUUGAGUGCAGUAGAGGAGAGUGGAAUUCCAUGUGUAGCGGUGAAAUGCGUAGAUAUAUGGAGGAACACCGGUGGCGAAAGCGGCUCUCUGGACUGUAACUGACACUGAGGCUCGAAAGCGUGGGUAGCAAACAGGAUUAGAUACCCUGGUAGUCCACGCCGUAAACGAUGAGUGCUAAGUGUUAGAGGGUUUCCGCCCUUUAGUGCUGAAGUUAACGCAUUAAGCACUCCGCCUGGGGAGUACGGCCGCAAGGCUGAAACUCAAAGGAAUUGACGGA